UAGAUGUUAAGGAGAAAGGAUCUUGAGGGGAGAGGAGGAGGGGUUUAUUGGAUUAGUGGGUGGGCCCUAGAAAGCAUCACGUGUGCCCUUAUGAGAGCAAGCCCGACAGACCCACAGAGAAGAGAGAGAAGAGAGAGAUGGGGUCACCGCCAGGGGCCCCCGGAAGCUAGGGGAGACAAGAAGCAUCCUCCCCAGAGCCUCCCGGGGGAGCACGGCCGUGGCGAGCUCCUCGAUGUCAGACUCCCGGCCUCCAGAACUGAGACAGAAGAAAUUCCUUUUCUUUUGAGCCACCAAGUUUGUAGCAAUGUGUUCUCGAAGCCUUAGGAAGCCGAAAGGUAUUUUUGUCUUCGUGCGUUUAUUGUCGCUUUCAUGCUUGGUCCAGCCCGGCCUCCUCCCGCCGGGCUGGGCGCAGUCUCUACGGCCGGGCAGAGAGCAUCUCCCCGGGUUCUCCGUGACCUCGCUCUUCCUGGGAGCCCCGGCUCCUUGGCUGUCAGGCCUGCGGCCCUCAGGGCACCUGGGGACUUAGCAGCUGCUCUGGCUGCCUCGUCCGGGGCACCGCCUGGCCGUCGGGGUUUUGAAAACUCCCCUGCAGAUCCUGGCUCGCUGGUCCAAGCCCAGGCUGGUCCCGCUCCAAGUAGGGGUGCGUCCUGGUGGGCGGGUGGCCACUUAGCUGGGGGCAGAGGCGCCGAGCCGGCUUGGCCUGUGUUUAGCACAGUGAAGCUCUGCAGACAGCAAACGUCUGUCCGGCUGGAUGGAGCACACCCUGUCGACAAGGCUCUUGGCGGCCGCUAACUCCCGUGUUUUGAUUUUUCUGGACUUUCUGAAACACGUUCUGAGCCACCUUGAACAGGCAAAGGUAGCAAAGAUGAUCCCUUUCUUCCCGGUGCCUGAACUUUAAAACCACCCAGAGAUGCUCAGGGAAUGCGUCCUGUUUGCUCAGGUGCCUAACCGGAAGGACAGAUAAGGGCCGAGGUCCUGGUAACACUGAACGGACCCAGGAGCAAAGCCGCAGCUCAGCAACCGGCCGUUUCUUUGUUUUGAUUUAGGAGUGGAGUGGUCAGCCCAAGGACGCAGCCUCCCCCCGGGAGCCUGCCCGCCUUGGCAUCGGCCGUGAGCCCGGUGGCCAGCUAGACCGCGAAGCCCAGAAUCACCCUCGGCGCCCUGAGGCGCCCCUGGGAGCAGAAACGGUUGCCUCGUCCCAGCAGAGAAGCCAGUGGUGACCACACACGGUAUUGAGCCGCCCCCGUCCCCAGAUGAAGGCACCCCGCCCCAUGUGAGGGCUGGCGGUAAAGCUCCGGUGAUCAAAACAGCGCCGUGCUUGUUGCCGGGGGCAUAGACACCGAGCCGUCCGGGCCCGGCUGAGCGUCGCCGAUGUGCAAAGCAGUUCGAGGGGGGAAGGACAGGCUUCUCGGCACCUGGUGCGGGAGCAGCGGCAUAUUCGCGGGCUUGACCGAAGCCUCACACCGAACACGGAAAUUAAUUCCAAACGGAUCGCGGGUUAAAUGUGAGACAUAGUGUGCAAACCUUUAGGAAGACCCAGAAAAUCUUCAGGGCCUAAGGGGGAGAGUUUUCAGACUUGACCCCAGAAAUCGCAUCCAUCAGAGGAGAAAUUGAGACGGGCGCCUGGGGGGCUCAGUCGGUUGAGCAUCCGACUUCGGCCCAGGUCACGGUCUCAUGGUUCAUGAGUUCAAGCCCCGAGUAGGGUUCUGUGCUGACAGCUCGGAGCCUGCUUGGAUUCUCUCUCUCUCUCAUUCUCAAAAAUAAAUAAACAUUAAAAAAUAAAAAACAAACAAACAAACAAGCAAAUGUCUGCAUCGACCCCGAGGACUGAAGGCUGUGUUGGCACAAAAGCGUGCACACGAUGCUUAACCGUAACGCCUAAGCACCCACACCGGAAACGACCCGAUGUCCUUCACCGGGCAGCGGCCGAGCUGACCACCGUCUGUCCAUCAACAGCCCCGGAGCGCCACUCCAGCGGGCGGACCGCGCCCACCGCUCACGCAGCAGCCUGUUGGGCGCUCGCAGAGCGGUCCGGGGUGAGGAGAGCCGUCUCGAAGGCCGGGGUGGGUGCACCUCCGUUUCCGUCUCUUCCGGAGGUGAGGCCAUUCCAGGGAAAGGCGAGUGUAGCGGCUGCCAGGGGCUUGGAGCUGGGGGGCUCCGGUGAGGCAGCACGAGGGGCCCUUGGGGUGGGACGGCGCCCUCGUCCCAUGGAGCCGGCUACAGAGUGCCGGAAUUGCCUAGAACCGAACUCACACACGCGCACGCACGAGUGCGAGUCAGGUCGGUCUGUCACGUCUGAGCGUAUCGAUGUCUGUCCCUUGCCUGACCCAGAGCCUCAUGUCCACACUCAGGAGGACAGAAGUGAAGGUGGGUCUUUAAGAUGUACCCUCAGGCCUCGGGGCCAGGGCAAGCCUUCCUGGCCGGCGCUGUGGCCGCUGGUGCUGGUCACAAGGCAAAAGCGCCCUCACCCUGACAGCGAGUGUGGACCGGGUGUGGAGGGCCUGAAGCCUUCCCUCCGGCCGCACCGCCAUCCGGCCGCUGCCAGACCCCCACACACCCACCCCUGCCAAGACGAAGCUUCCGCCCCGAGCCCACGUCACAUUGCUGCGGCUUUGUCCCACGGAGACCCCGAGGCCUCAGUCCGGGGCUUCAGCCUUUGAAAGGGGAGCCAAGCCCUUAUUCCUGGCAGGACAGGAGUAAACUCUGCCCUAAAUAGAAACACCAUUCAUAGGGAAGCAUUUACCAUCAAUGAAUGAGGGAGAACGGUUACAUAACCCCUGUAAAAAUAGACUGACGUUUCAAUGUGUUUAAAGGGCUGGAGGGGAAUUCUCCGUGUAAGCUCCUUAGGAAGUAGAUUGGCUUCUGUCAACGGGGAUCUUAGGGGCCACUGAGGGGAACGACGAUUCAGCGGGUUUCAUUCUGGCCGCAGAGGACGGUGGCUGGUGGAGUGCACUCGUGAAAACCGUCUCGAGGCCCGCCGUGUGCCUGGUACCAGGGCUAUGCCAGGGACUGCCACCGUCUCCGACCUCAUGGGACCCAGGUCCCAGCAAGGGAGACCGCCAGCCAGCACACACAGUCAGACUCCAGCAGCCGUCAUGACUCUCCACUCACAUCCGUUGUCAUUGUCGCGCUAUGGAGCUCCUGCCGAGGUCCCCAGUGACAAGUGCCAGGGUCAACGGCUGUGACUUCCGCUGGGAUCCCAGAGCUGGCAGGGAAGGAAGGCAGCUCAUCACAAACACGGGGGACUGUCACACCCCGGGAGUCACCAGGGCUGCCCGUGUCGGUGGCUUUCUGAGGACGAGCUGAAGCUGUUGCCAUUAAGUGGGGGCUCCGGAAACGUCUGCCCUACAGGCUGCUCCAGGCUCCGCGGGGACCCGAGAGAUAAGUGGGUGGACCCGAGGCUCCGUCGUGGGCGGCCGCGAUGAGCAAAGACACUGAGGCUCAACCCCGGCCGGGGUGUCUGGGGGCCUGUCCGCUCCAGGUGGGGGCUGUGUGGAGGCUCCAGCAAAGCCGCCCGAAUGAAGUGGCAGACGCUCGGCCCCGGACCCGCUCCUCUGGAGAAGAAUGCCAGCCGAAACUCCUCUGGCCGGUGCCCUGGCCUGGUCGAACAGAAUUAGGGCUUUUCUUGCAGAAGUGGAGGAGGCAAAUCUGGAAGGGGUGUUGGGGGCAGGCACACGUGCUCACUGUCACCUCUCCACCGACUGACGGGCAAGUACCGUCCGCACGAGCGUGGACAGGGCCAGGCACUGUCUUCUGUCGGGGACACGCUGAGCCCAUCGAUGAUCCACCGAGGGACCCCACCCUGGCCUCCAACCAGGUGGGCACCCGAGGAGAAGCCUGGAUGCCGUAUGUCCAGCAGCAAUAGCUCGGUCUUCCAGGAGGCUCUCUGGGCUCCAAGAGGCCCUGACAGAGCAGGGUCCUGGGUCUCCACCUUCCUGUCUUGCCUGGAUGUGCACGAAGCCUGGGCGAGCACCUGAAACAUGCUACUGUUGUGAUCCGUAACAGCGCGGUGGCCGUUGGGCCUGCAGGGGCUGCUGUCACAUCCGAGUUGACCUUGAGUCGUGGCUCCAUAGGAGACUGACUGUCUGCUGUCCCCUCUCUCAGCCGGGAGCGGAGACGGGUGUUGGCUGAGCCCUGGAGGGGGGGUAGACUGGCAUCACCAUGUGCCCGGGGGGCCCCCCUGCGCCCUGGUGCCCUCCUAAGUGGGCGACUCCCCGGGGCCCACGGGCCAGAGCCGCACCCUCCGGAACUGGUUCUCCUGAGUACAGGGCCGGGCGGGACGGAAACUGAACAGGCUGUACCCAGGAAUGCAAAUGACUCUGCCUGAGAAAAGAGAAGGGCAUCCAGCCAUGGCCCGGAGCUGGCGGCCCCUGAGCCUCAACACAGCUGGCAUGGAAAAUCCCCUGCCCCAGACGCGGCCUCGUCUUGUCUCCGUUCUGGAGGGCGGGGGUAGGAGAGGUGACCCCGAUAGGGAAGGCCUGGGUCUCACAGGCGCGUGCAGCUGAGCCCCGUGGACCUCUCCGGUCCAUCCAGCCGUGGCAAACCGGGGAGCCCUGCCACGGUGAGCCUGUUUCCACCCCCUAAAUUUGGAGCCCAGAGUUGGAAAAGCCAGACUGCGGGGAGGGGGGGGGCAGUGCCAGCCAAGCCACCAGGGCCCACGUGGGUGCAGGGGGUGGAGAUCCUGGCAUCCGCAGCCUGUGGCGGCUGGGGGCGGGCAGCGAGGACGGCGGGAGGGAGGGGCUUCUUGAAGGAGAAGCCCUGCUGGGGCACCCCCCAGCCCCAGACAGGGGAGCCUCUUCCAGAGGAAGCAGUGGGCAGCUGGCCCCGGGGGAGGGGCCUUGCUCAACGCAGGAGGGCGAGGUCUGUGCUGUUUCCGGGCCGGGAGGGGUCGUCAGCCCAACUGAGAGGGACAAGCCCUGGGACGAGCCCCGUGUUGCCCAACUCCUGCCCCCGGGCCUGGAAACCCAGAGGCCCCUGCCCUGUGUGAGUCUCUCGGUGGCCACCAGCCACUGGGUAACUGUGGGAGCGGCCCUGGCAGGAAGCCGCCCUUGGAUGGCGCAGCCGCGGCUGGAGCCUGCCAAGCCUGACACCCACCUCCCGGGGGCCGAAACCGGCGUGGGGGCUGGGCCUCUCCCGCGGGGGCUGGUGAGCCAAUAGUGCCGAUGACGCACCGCGGUGACUGACAUAAGGCCCGGGGGCCGCGAGCAUCCUUCCAUUGGCCAAUAAGUAUAUCUUGACCCGAGGGAGGCAGGCGGCCCCGAAACAGUUAAGUGUUCAGAAUAUGCCUCAAGGUCUCCAGCAGUCACCUGAGAGUUCGCUUCUUUAGCAGCGCUCUCCUGCCCGUGUCCCCAGCCUGCCCACAGUCCACACGGGUCCCCUCGCCUCCGUGAUGCUCGUCACAUGAUCACGCACGUUUGAAUCGGAUGCGAUGGAAAUGUUCCAGGUUUUGAAAUGCCCACGUACCUUUAUUUCCACCGCCGGCGUGUUGUUCGCAGUAUUGCAGUGAGACUGGUAAGAUGGGCCUUAGAAUUAAGCCCACUGAAGUAGGAAGCCACCAGGGGUGUGACGCCCCAAGUCCCCACCCAGCAUCCCUCUUACCUGCCUGGUGACAGAUGGCUCCGGAGAGGAAAUGCCGCCCUCGAGUUUCCCCAUGUCACGUGCUGGAUUUUUUCACGCUGCGUCCGCGCCGUGGAGUGACCUUACAGCCCCUAGAAAUGUUUGCGUCUGCCCCCCCCCCCGCCCCCGUCCUUUCUGUCCCCAUCUCUGAGCUGCUGUUUCAGGGAGUCAACUCUGUUCAUGACACGAGAAAACAAAUCAAGCAGGAAACGGAAGGACUGCUGUUUCUGGAGCAUGUGAACUCUUUGGACAGCUGUGUGACCACCCUGUCACCGCACGGAGACAGUCCAUCUCACUCCCGGGGGCGGGAGAGGACACGGCAGACGAGCGCUGGGACCCUGUGAGCUGUGCGUGGGCCUGUGCUGACCUCCCGCUCGCCCUCCCCGGGGGUGAGGGCCCCUCCUGGGAAACGAGGCAGACUGCUUCCUGCUCCCCUGUGGGUCCUUCCAGGGACUGUCCAGGAGUGACCCCCCCGCUAGGGAGGACAUUCCCUAGAACGGCCACGCCUCUUCCCGAAGAGGGUCCUUACACCCCGAGCCGAAAGUACCCCACUUCUCAGAGCUUCUCAGAGUGACCCUGGAGAUCCGGGAAUUAAACUCAUGAGUUUAUGAAAUAAGAAACAAAGACGAAGCUUCUGGUAAGAUUGUGUCGGUGGAAAUGUCUGGAAAGAGGAGGUCAGCUUAGCGGCAAUGGGCGUAAAACCAGCUUGCUGGGAAAUCCCACGCGUAACCACAGGCUUAGAGCUUUAGGGCUCCUCCGAACUUUCUAGGGUUGGACCCCGAUGGAGGGCGUGUGCAGGAGGGGGGCCUCGGGCACGGCGCCCCCGACGGGACAUGCUGCAGGCAGACCCAGCAGCCAGGGCUUGUGCCUUGGUUUUUUCUUCUCUCCUUUAAAAUUUUUUUUUCUAACAAUAACUCUUUUGUUUAACAAGUUAAAGAACUUGCUUCAUUUAUUUGUUUGUUUGAUUGUCGUAAAACACACAUAAUGCAAAGUC